AUCUUGAAUGUGGAUGUCCUGGCUGGGAACACAGCAGCCAACUCGUGAGUGUGGGUAACAAGCAGGGACAAAAGACCACCAGAGUCACAGAGACGCAGCUGCGGUGACACCGAGGCUGUUGGCCGGAGGUCAUCUCAGCUCCUAGCUGGGUAUUAGCUGGAGGCUGUCCUCAGUCCAGUGCCGUGGGCCUCCCCAGCUUGGCUGCGUGUGGCAGCAAAUCCAGCCAGGCGGUCCUCAGCAAGAGAGACAUCACAAUCUCACAGGUGAUCCACUCGGCUCUCUUCUCUUCUGCGUCCUGCUCUAUGGCCUGGGAAGCUGAUCUCCAAGGAUCGCAUUCCUAGGGCUCUCUGGCCCAUGGGCUUCCCGUUGGGUUUGCCCAAUGGACAGCCAUGGCAGAAGAUCAAAGGGAAGAUGGCAGGAAGCUGUCCCCCACUCCUCGCCUGGCUGAGUUCUGGCGAUGGCUGCCAUCCAGGGUCCUGAGUCCCACCAGGUAUGGUCACCAUGC
rnacentral:lncRNA from 1 species